UUCUGAUUAGACGAUGACCGUUACGUGUCACGUUCUAGUUGAAUGUUGACUCUAUGGAUGAUAAAAAUGUAUUAUUGUUGUCAUCAUCCAAUCAGAACGUGGCACGUGAUAGUCAUCAUCA
rfam:Glycine soja cultivar W05 scaffold13899_1, whole genome shotgun sequence.